CACGUAGGGGGCAAGCGUUGUCCGGAAUUAUUGGGCGUAAAGAGCUCGUAGGCGGCUCGGUAAGUCAGGUGUCAAAUCCUCAGGCUCAACCUGGGGCUCCACCUGAUACUGCUGUGGCUAGAGUCCGGUAGGGGAGCGUGGAAUUCCUGGUGUAGCAGUGAAAUGCGUAGAUAUCAGGAGGAACACCGAUGGCGAAGGCAGGUCUCUGGGCUGAAACUGACGCUCAUGCACGAAAGCGUGGGGAGCAAACAGG
rnacentral:rRNA from 1 species